GACGAACGCUGGCGGCGUGCUUAACACAUGCAAGUCGAACGGAAAGGCCCUGCUUUUGUGGGGUGCUCGAGUGGCGAACGGGUGAGUAACACGUGAGUAACCUGCCCUUGACUUUGGGAUAACUUCAGGAAACUGGGGCUAAUACCGGAUAGGAGCUCCUGCUGCAUGGUGGGGGUUGGAAAGUUUCGGCGGUUGGGGAUGGGCUCGCGGCUUAUCAGCUUGUUGGUGGGGUAGUGGCUUACCAAGGCUUUGACGGGUAGCCGGCCUGAGAGGGUGACCGGCCACAUUGGGACUGAGAUACGGCCCAGACUCCUACGGGAGGCAGCAGUGGGGAAUAUUGCACAAUGGGCGGAAGCCUGAUGCAGCAACGCCGCGUGCGGGAUGACGGCCUUCGGGUUGUAAACCGCUUUCGCCUGUGACGAAGCGUGAGUGACAGUAAUGGGUAAAGAAGCACCGGCUAACUACGUG
rnacentral:rRNA from 1 species